rnacentral:lncRNA from 1 species
CACGCCUCGCCCUCGCCCUCCCCGCCCUUCCCUUUUCCGCCCCAGCUCGCGGUGCUGCCGUUAAGAGAGGGCAACGCCCCGGCCCUCACAGCCCGCCAUUGACCCCAGCCAUCGCCCUUUCUUUCUCAGCGCGCAAUACACUCUGCGUGUCCCGCCCGGACACCUAGCAUGCAUCUAAGCCCUGUUGCCGCCACGCCAAGCGGUUCCCCCCGCCGAGCACUCACCGCGGGGCUGGCAGGCCAAGCCGACAGCACAACAACCUCACAGACUCACCCGACUCCAAAUGCGCCACACAUCCCCCUCCCGCCCCUCAUAUGGUCUCGCGCGCCCCGCCCCCACGUCCGGAUCACUCCGCCGCGCACUAUUUUCUCGGCCCCGCGCGCCGCCACUCUCCUGCGUGCGCUGGGCGGAUGGGGCAGGCGCGAAGAGAUCUGUGCCCCGCGCGUGGGUGCGCUGCGUCCAGCGCGCGCGGGAGGCGGCGCGGGGCGCGAGCAGCGCCCGGAAAACCCGGCGUGGAGCCGCCGCCGGAACGGGACUGCGGCCAUGGCGCCUCAGCAAGCCCACCUCGGAGACAUGCCCGUGUUUAAAGAUUUAUCUCAGAGCCUCACGUUUUAUUCAGGGCUUUAGACAUGAGGACACAACCCCGCUGGGACGGGCAGAGCACAUUCUGGCAGAUCUCUGCUGCACUCAGUUGGCUCCUGUACCAUCCCAGUCAAACUGCACAGCAAUUCCAGGCCAUGGCUGAGAACAAAACGGGGCUUUGUCUGCAAGAUUCAGGAGACGCCAUGCGGUCCAAUCCGCCUACAAAAUCCUUCGUUUGCCAGCACCCAAGGAAAAUGGAAGGGACACAGAUAACACCCAGGACUGCUCACCAGCAGGAACAGAGCAGAGGCCCAGCAACAGCUUUGUGAUUGGUUUGAGGGAAGCCGCCUGUGUCUGGCUGACACAUGGAGCUGUUACAGGAGGGGAACGCUCUGGGGAGCUCCUCGGCCUCUGCUGCCUCAUGUUUGUACCAACACUCACCACAGCAGCAGUGAUAAUAAUCUCAAACACUCCGGUCAUUUAGACGGGGGAAGAAAAAAUCCACAGAAGUCUUUUGGUUUCUUCUCGGUGCUCAGUGGCUGACACUGUGUGCACUGGGAGUUGAAUAAACAUCAAAGAUUGGAAAAGCCUUCCA